rnacentral:rRNA from 1 species
CCCUUAGAGUUUGAUCCUGGCUCAGAGCGAACGCUGGCGGCAGGCUUAACACAUGCAAGUCGAGCGCCCCGCAAGGGGAGCGGCAGACGGGUGAGUAACACGUGGGAACGUACCCUUCAGUUCGGAACAACCCAGGGAAACUUGGGCUAAUACCGGAUACGUCCGAAAGGAGAAAGAUUUAUCGCUGAAGGAUCGGCCCGCGUCUGAUUAGCUAGUUGGUGGGGUGAUGGCCCACCAAGGCUACGAUCAGUAGCUGGUCUGAGAGGAUGAUCAGCCACAUUGGGACUGAGACACGGCCCAAACUCCUACGGGAGGCAGCAGUGGGGAAUAUUGGACAAUGGGCGCAAGCCUGAUCCAGCCAUGCCGCGUGAGUGAUGAAGGCCCUAGGGUUGUAAAGCUCUUUUAGCGGGGAAGAUAAUGACGGUACCCGCAGAAAAAGCCCCGGCUAACUUCGUGCCAGCAGCCGCGGUAAUACGAAGGGGGCUAGCGUUGCUCGGAAUCACUGGGCGUAAAGCGCACGUAGGCGGCUUCUUAAGUCAGGGGUGAAAUCCUGGAGCUCAACUCCAGAACUGCCUUUGAUACUGGGGAGCUCGAGUCCGGGAGAGGUGAGUGGAACUGCGAGUGUAGAGGUGAAAUUCGUAGAUAUUCGCAAGAACACCAGUGGCGA